AUCAGAACAAAGUUGGGCUUCCUGUCUGCCUUCUGUCCUGUGACUUCUCUCCCUGGCAGCAGGGAGAGAAGGAGAUGUGCCAACAGGGGGAACCUUCGGGUGAAGGAUUAAAGCUGACUGUCUGGCACGAGGGCUUCUAUUUUAUUUAUCUUGUGACCCUGAGGAGCUUCAUGAUGGGAGGACUGGUUUAGACAACCCAACAGAGCAGCAGUUGACAUGGAUGCCACUUGGACCUAUACAACAUUCAACUGCUUCUGCCAUAAUACAGCAAAUCAAUGAUUUGAUACUUUGAAAACAUUCUUAAUAACUAAACCACUGUUAUUUGUAAUUAAGUAUUACAGUACAUUGGGGAAUAUAGGUACUUUUAAUUCAGUACAUUAUCUGAAUUUGUCUCUCAUUUCUGUUUAUCCCACAGACACAGCUGAGUUUUAUUGUUUCAACAAUGAAAGAUAAUUUAGUCUGAUUUACUUGGAAUCAAAUCAAUGAAAUUACUUCACUGAAUUACUGAAUAAUAAGUUAGCACAGCCGCACGCGGGGCUGGGUUUAAUAACAUGGUUUACAGUUGGUGCGGGUGUGAUGGCUGCUGGGUAUGAAACAAAUAUGUGUACAUGUACGGGAAUUAUGUGUGUAUACGUUUGGCGAGAAAAAACAUACUCAGGUCCCCACAUGUUACUUCUGAGGUGAGUAUCUGCAGGUGAGGAUCUGUCACUCAUAUAACCUGUGUAUAGAGCUACAUCCUAUAUAUACCUGAUGUAUCGAACAUUUCACGUCAUGUCGUGUGAUGCCUGUUUGUUUUUUGUUCUCCUUGAGCUUACUUAACUUUCCAGCAGCUUGCAGGAAUUAAAGAAAGUCACAAAAACAGAGCGACAGAGGCACACAUGGCUUCAUAAACUUUACAUAAAGUUGAGCAAUAGGACAAAAAUAACUAAAACUUAUGUAUGUGUUGUAUACAUCUUAAGUGUAAAAAUAUGAAUAUUCCAAUAUCAUUCUUUAAGAUCAGUGUUAUUUGUACCUACUGUGACACACACACACACACACCUGGCAAGAAGGUCAAACACAAACUCCCACGAAAACGGUUUAAUUGACUCCUAAAACAUUAUUUACACAAUUCCAGAAGAACAACAGUGCCAGAUGAAAAGAAAGUUCCGAAAACAAAAGUAAAAGACAGCGUAUUUAAAUAAAAAGGAACAGUCAUUUGUCGAAAUCAAAAAUGAAUUGUCUAAUAUAAUCAAGACGUCUACCGGAUAGGAAAGUGCUUCUCCCAUAAAGAUUGUUAAUAAAA